GACGAACGCUGGCGGCGUGCUUAACACAUGCAAGUCGAACGGAAAGGCCCUGCUUUUGUGGGGUGCUCGAGUGGCGAACGGGUGAGUAACACGUGAGUAACCUGCCCUUGACUUUGGGAUAACUUCAGGGAAAUGGGGCUAAUACCGGAUAGGAGAUACUGCUGCACGGGGGGGGUUGGAAAGUUUCGGCGGUUGGGGAUGGAAUCGCGGCUUAUCAGCUUGUUGGUGGGGUAGUGGAUUACCAAGGCUUUGACGGGUAGCCGGCCUGAGAGGGUGACCGGCCACAUUGCUACUGAGGUACGGCCCAGACGCCUACGGGAGGCAGCAGUGGGGAAUAUUGCACAGUGGGCGGAAGCCUGAUGCAGCAACGCCGCGUGCGGGAUGACGGCCUUCGAGUUGUAAACCGCUUUCGCCUGUGACGAAGCGUGAGUGACGGUAAUGGGUAAAAAAGCACCGGCUAACUACGUG
rnacentral:rRNA from 1 species